rnacentral:rRNA from 1 species
AUUAAACGCUGGCGGCAUGCCUUACACAUGCAAGUCGAACGGUAGCGCGGGGCAACCUGGCGACGAGUGGCGAACGGGUGAGUAAAGCAUCGGAACGUGCCCUGGAAUGGGGGAUAACGUAGCGAAAGUUACGCUAAUACCGCAUAUUCUGUGAGCAGGAAAGCAGGGGAUCGCAAGACCUUGCGUUCUGGGAGCGGCCGAUGUCGGAUUAGCUAGUUGGUGGGGUAAAAGCCUACCAAGGCGACGAUCCGUAGCGGGUCUGAGAGGAUGAUCCGCCACACUGGGACUGAGACACGGCCCAGACUCCUACGGGAGGCAGCAGUGGGGAAUUUUGGACAAUGGGCGGAAGCCUGAUCCAGCCAUGCCGCGUGAGUGAAGAAGGCCUUCGGGUUGUUAAAGGACUCUUUCGG